rnacentral:rRNA from 1 species
UACGUAGGGGGCAAGCGUUGUCCGGAUUUAUUGGGCGUAAAGCGCGUGUAGGCGGCCAGAUAGGUCUGCUGUGAAAACUCGAGGCUCAACCUCGAGCUGUCGGCGGAAACCAUCUGGCUAGAGUCCGGAAGAGGAGAGUGGAAUUCCUGGUGUGGCGGUGAAAUGCGCAGAUAUCAGGAAGAACACCUAUGGCGAAGGCAGCUCUCUGGGACGGUACUGACGCUGAGACGCGAAAGCGUGGGGAGCGAACAGG